rnacentral:rRNA from 1 species
UGCCAGCCGCCGCGGUAAUACGGAGGGGGUUAGCGUUGUUCGGAAUUACUGGGCGUAAAGCGCACGUAGGCGGACUGGAAAGUUGGGGGUGAAAUCCCAGGGCUCAACCCUGGAACUGCCUCCAAAACUAUCAGUCUAGAGUUCGAGAGAGGUGAGUGGAAUUCCGAGUGUAGAGGUGAAAUUCGUAGAUAUUCGGAGGAACACCCGAGGCGAAGGCGCCUUCCUGGACGGCCACUGACGCUGAGACGCGAAAGCGUGGGGAGCAAACAGGAUUAGAUA